rnacentral:rRNA from 1 species
UACGAAGGGGGCUAGCGUUGCUCGGAAUUACUGGGCGUAAAGGGCGCGUAGGCGGAUAGUUUAGUCAGGGGUGAAAUCCUGGAGCUCAACUCCAGAACUGCCUUUGAUACUGAAGAUCUUGAGUCCGGGAGAGGUGAGUGGAACUGCGAGUGUAGAGGUGAAAUGCGCAGAUAUCAGGAGGAACACCAAUGGCGAAGGCAGCUCGCUGGGACGGUACUGACGCUGAGACGCGAAAGCGUGGGGAGCAAACAGG